UGUACAGUAAAGUGUGCCAGAUGCCCUGCUUAGACUUCUGCAUUUAUAUUGGUAUUAUUGUAGCAAAGAGAAUAAGAUAGGCUGAUAUGUAACUAUUUCUGCUGGGACAUUGGCCAAUGCCUCUGCCCCUCUUACUAUUCCCCAUCCUUCCUUGUUCCCAGGCUGGGAUUGCUGUGCACUGGGCCCACCCCUCCCACCCCCAUGCAGUGCCUCCCUUCAGAACCAGCCUUUGUAACCUCCCUAGAUAGCAGCAGGGUGAGCCUCUUUGUCAGGCUGGUUCUUGGGUGCUCUGUGCCCCUCACCCCCCCACCAGUUUCCUCACCUCUUGGGAUGUUUUGUAAUGUGUUUCCUCUGUUUUGUAAAACCUUUUGAUUGUAAUGAAAUGAUUUCUGCAGCCACCUUUGGAAAUAAAUUGUCC
rnacentral:lncRNA from 1 species